rnacentral:rRNA from 1 species
UACGUAGGGUGCAAGCGUUAUCCGGAUUUACUGGGUGUAAAGGGAGCGUAGGUGGUUCGGCAAGUCAGAUGUGAAAGCCCGGGGCUCAACCCCGGGACUGCAUUUGAAACUGCCUUACUAGAGUGCAGGAGAGGUAAGUGGAAUUCCUAGUGUAGCGGUGAAAUGCGUAGAUAUUAGGAGGAACACCAGUGGCGAAGGCGGCUUACUGGACUGUAACUGACACUGAGGCUCGAAAGCGUGGGGAGCAAACAGG